UACAGAGGUCCCGAGCGUUGUUCGGAUUCACUGGGCGUAAAGGGUGCGUAGGUGGCUUGAAAAGUUUGAUGUGAAAGCUCAGGGCUUAACCCUGAAAUGGCAUUGAAUACUGUCGAGCUGGAGGUUUGGAGGGGGGACUGGAAUUCUUGGUGUAGCAGUGAAAUGCGUAGAUAUCAAGAGGAACACCAGUGGCGAAGGCGGGUCUCUGGGACGGUACUGACGCUGAGACGCGAAAGCGUGGGGAGCGAACAGG
rnacentral:rRNA from 1 species